rnacentral:lncRNA from 1 species
AUCACAAUUUACUUGUCGGUCACAAAUUUUCAAAUUAUUUGGUCACAAAUUAUUUUUUAGUCACAUAUUAUCAUAUUUCUAGGUGACAGUUAAAUCAUUGGUCACAGAUAACCAAAAAAUUGGUCACAUACACCAAAUAGCAGGUCACAUACAAUCACUACUGUCACUUCGACCACAGUUAAAUACUUGGUCGCAGAUAACAAAAAAUUUGGUCACAUACACCAAAUAGCGGGUCACAUACCAUCAUCACCAACACUAACUCCAACUGAAACGCACAACUAUCAGCACCAGUACCACCACUGCCUUUUUGCUACCCACCGUUAACAACUUGCAAUACUACCAUCACAACACCACCACUAAACAACCCCCAACAUUACUGGUCCACUACCACUUCACCACCACAGGUCCACAACCACCACUAAAAACAACCAUUUGCAAAACUUAAAACAAUCAAACCACCCACAACUAACAACAAAACAAUAACAAAAAAGAACACCGCCACCAAUCGCUUUGCUCAAGAAAUCACUAUUGGAUUAAAUCAAUAGAACGAAUCUUGGUCUAGGUCAAUAUCCACCGUAGGAAUUCCGAACUGAUCAUAGAUUCAUAACUAAUUACCAAUUCAUAUUUUUAACAUUGAUGGAUGGAAUUUAUAUUUCCUAUUUCUCCCUAGUUGUAAUUAACCCGAAAACAAGCGAUCCAAUCAAUCAUUAUUAUCAAAUAACCCAUGAAAGGCACUUAAGAUUUAAUUUAAUAAUAGCAUGAGGAACUCUAGAGAAAUCUAUUAAACUAAACAACACAAUCACAAGCGAUCAUGUUUAAUCUAGUCAAAUAUCCUCCCAAGAAUUUAGUAACCUCUAAAGUAGCGAUUAAUCAAACUCUAGUUGCUUCAUAUGUCAAAGAUUUCAAAUAAUUACGUAUUUGUUCUUUAAACGAGCAGUCGAUCGAAGUACAUGAACAUCUAAUAGGCCUUUUAGAAUUCAAAUACAACAACCAUAAAAUCAUGCAUGGAAGAAUACUCAAUACAUAAAAUAUGAACGAAAACAAAGAAAUUUAUUUAGAUCUCA